UUCAAACACAAGUCUUGCCAUUUCAAUUGUCAUUCCUUUGAUCGUUGUGGUUCUCAUCAUCCUUAUCCUGUUUCUCAUAAUUCGUUUUCAGGGUCAUUGUGCUGCUUGCUGUGGGAAACCCAAGAUUUACAAGAAUUUCGAGUUUGAAGAUUCCUCAGCCUGAGCCCUCUCUCAUCUGAAAGAUAUCAAAGACAAGAUGCUCAAAACACUGCCAUAUUUAAAUAAUUUGAAAAUGCUUUUAAAUGUUCAUGGGUCUUUGAUUUUUUUAAAAAAAGGUAGAAAGUAAAUAGAAAACUAAUAAGUAUAUAGAAAAAUAAAUUAA